rnacentral:rRNA from 1 species
AGUGAACGCUGGCGGUAGGCCUAACACAUGCAAGUCGAACGGCAGCACAGUAAGAGCUUGCUCUUACGGGUGGCGAGUGGCGGACGGGUGAGGAAUACAUCGGAAUCUACUUUUUCGUGGGGGAUAACGUAGGGAAACUUACGCUAAUACCGCAUACGACCUACGGGUGAAAGCAGGGGAUCUUCGGACCUUGCGCGAUUGAAUGAGCCGAUGUCGGAUUAGCUAGUUGGCGGGGUAAAGGCCCACCAAGGCGACGAUCCGUAGCUGGUCUGAGAGGAUGAGCAGCCACACUGGAACUGAGACACGGUCCAGACUCCUACGGGAGGCAGCAGUGGGGAAUACUGGACAAUGGGCGCAAGCCUGAUCCAGCCAUACCGCGUGGGUGAAGAAGGCCUUCGGGUUGUAAAGCCCUUUUGUUGGGAAAGAAAAGCAGCAGGUUAAUACCCCGCUGUUCUGACGGUACCCAAAGAAUAAGCACCGGCUAACUUCGU